rnacentral:rRNA from 1 species
AUUGAGCGCUGGCGGCAUGCUUUACACAUGCAAGUCGAACGGUAACAGGUUAAGCUGACGAGUGGCGAACGGGUGAGUAAUGCAUCGGAACGUGCCCGAUCGUGGGGGAUAACGCAGCGAAAGCUGCGCUAAUACCGCAUACGAUCUGAGGAUGAAAGCGGGGGACCGUAAGGCCUCGCCGGAUCGGAGCGGCCGAUGUCAGCUUAGGUAGUUGGGGGGGUAAAGGCUUACCAAGCCAACGAUCUGUAGCUGGUCUGAGAGGACGACCAGCCACACUGGGACUGAGACACGGCCCAGACUCCUACGGGAGGCAGCAGUGGGGAAUUUUGGACAAUGGGCGAAAGCCUGAUCCAGCAAUGCCGCGUGCAGGAAGAAGGCCUUCGGGUUGUAAACUGCUUUUGUACGGAGCGAAAAGGCUCUCUCUAAUACAGGGGGCUCAUGACGGUACCGUAAGAAUAAGCACCGGCUAACUACGUGCCAGCCGCCGCCGUAA